rnacentral:rRNA from 1 species
UACGUAGGGUCCGAGCGUUGUCCGGAAUUACUGGGCGUAAAGAGCUCGUAGGUGGUUUGUCGCGUUGUUCGUGAAAACUCACAGCUUAACUGUGGGCGUGCGGGCGAUACGGGCAGACUUGAGUACUGCAGGGGAGACUGGAAUUCCUGGUGUAGCGGUGGAAUGCGCAGAUAUCAGGAGGAACACCGGUGGCGAAGGCGGGUCUCUGGGCCGAUACUGACGCUGAGGAGCGAAAGCAUGGGUAGCGAACAGG